rnacentral:lncRNA from 1 species
UCUCUACUUCAAAUAACAUGAAAUGUCCAACAGGAGUUAUGAGUUAGUGUAUAUUCCAUAUAUGUUAAUAGUGAAACAUCCUGUCUUAUGCAAGGCUAAAAAUUGUCCAUGUAUGCUUCUCAGAUUCAUAUACAUACUCUCUUCCAACAGCACAGCAUAGACCAAGAACUGGGUUUCAUAUGGAUGAAUUUAUUCUUCCUUUGAGGCAAGACAAGAAGGAAAGAAAGUAUUGGGACUACUGCUGUCCUCCCAUCCUCAAGGGCCAGUGGGAACUCUUAAUAUUGAAUUCCGUGGACUUUAACCAGUGACGCGCUAAUUUUGUCAUUUGUACCAGCUAACUCAUCUGGGAGGCAGCAAAACAGUAUUCUCCUGAGGUUAAUGUGGACGAAGAACUAGAUUUCAUGUAAAAGAGUUUAUUCCUUCUACUUGAGGUGUGACAUGAAGGAAAGUAAUGGAAAUAAUUCUGCCUUCCCAUUCUCAGGGGCCAGGGGGAAUUCUAAUAUUGAACGGAAGUGAUUUGGGAAUUGCAUGGAAUUCUCACUGCCAUCCCAAAGAAAUGCUGAUCUUGUCACUCUUACCUGUUCCGUUGCCUGGAGCAGAACAAAAGGAUGCACUUCAAAGGUAACAUCAAAGUUUGAAUAAAUUUACUUUUUAUGGCUUAUUUUGUAAUUUUUUCUGUAGUCAAGUAGGUAAUAGGUUUUGUGAAUGAUCUGUUAAUAACAGUGUGAGGCAUUAAUUAUCUGGUGAAUCAUCCGAAG